GGUUUUUUGUUGUUAAAUAAAMAAUCYGGCCUGCCCACUGAAUAUUGGUUAAAGGGCUGCAGUAUAUYGACUGUACAAAGGUAGCAUAAUCMUUAGUCUUUUAAUUGAAGACUGGAAUGAAAGGUCUAACAAGCUUUAACUGUCUCUAAAAAAUUUUAUUAAGUUAUUUUUUUUGUGAAAAAACAAAAAUGAGAUAAAGGGACAAGAAGACCCUAUCAAACUUAUUUUAUUUUAUGUAUUGUUUAAAUAUAAAUAUUGUGUUAGUUAAAAUUUACUGGGGCGGUAGGUAUAAAACAUUAUUGAUAUAUAAUAUUUUUAAUGGCUUAAUAUAAGGAUCCAAAAUUGAUUGAUAAUAAGAAGAAGUUACUGUAGGGAUAACAGCGUAAUAUUUUUUGAGAGUACAUAAUGACRAAAGUGUUUGCSACCUCSAUGUUGGAUUAAGAAAU
rnacentral:rRNA from 1 species